AUUGAACGCUAGCGGGAUGCUUUAUACAUGCAAGUCGAACGAGUGGCGGAUGGGUGAGUAAUAUAUCGGAACGUGCCCAGUAGCGGGGGAUAAUUACGCGAAAGAGUGGCUAAUCCCGAAUACUAUUGGGUCGGCCGAGAUCGGAUUAGCUAGUUGGUGGGGUAAAGGCUCACAAAGGCAACGAUCCGUAGCUGGUAUGAGAGGACGACCGGCCACACUGGAACUGAGACACGGCCCAGACUCCUACGGGAGGCAGCAGUAGGGAAUUUUGGACAAUGGGGGAAACCCUGAUCCAGCCAUCCCGCGUGUAUGAGAAGGCCUUCGGAUUGUAAAGUACUUUUGUCAGGGAAGCGGUAUCUACAGAGUAAGCCACGGCUAACUACGUGCCAGCAGCCGCGGUAAUAC
rnacentral:rRNA from 1 species